ensembl:lncRNA
CCCUUCCAUGUCCACAAAAAUACACAAUCAGCGAAUGAUAACAGCUCAUAAACAACUAAAUCCAAUGUGAUGUUAUGUCAAGAUGGACGGGUGCGUCACUUGAGUGGGUUGAGUCACUGGCGUGAUCUUCUUGUCUGGGUUGGCGCCCCCCCUUGGGUUGUGCCGUGGCGGAGAUCUUUGUGGGCUAUACUCGGCCUUGUCUCAGGAUGGACCUGAGCCUUGGGACCAUACCUCAGGCCUACCUGGCAUGAUGACUCCUUGCUGUCCCCAGUCCACCUGGCUGUGCUGCUGCUCCAGUUUCAACUGUUCUGCCCGCGGCUAUUGAACCCUGACCUGUACACCGGACGUGCUACCUGUCCCAGACCUGCUGUUUUCAACUCUCUAGAGACAGCAGGAGCGGUAGAGAUACUCUUAAUGAUCGGCUAUGAAAAGCCAACUGACAUUUACUCCUGAGGUGCUGACUUGCUGCACCCUCGAUAACUACUGUGAUUAUUAUUAGUUGACCAUGCUGGUCAUUUAUGAACAUUUGAACAUCUUGGCCAUGUUCUGUUAUAAUCUCCACCCGGCACAGCCAGAAGAGGACUAGCCAACCCUCAUAACCUGGUUGCUCUCUAGGAUUCUUCCUACGUUUUGGCCUUUCUAGGGAGUGUUUCCUAGCCACCGUGCUUCUACACCUGCAUUGCUUGCUGUUUGGGGUUUUAGGUUGGGUUUCUGUACAGCACUUUGAGAUAUCAGCUGAUGUAAGAAGGGAUAAAUAAAUACAUUUGAUUUGAUAUUGUUAUCGUGACCAGUGAGCUGAGAUAAGGUGGAGCUUUACCUAGCAAAGACUUAUAAAUGACUUGGAGCGUGGGCCAGCCGACUAGAGCAUACAGGUCACAGUGGUGGGUGGUAUAUGGGGCUUUGGUGACAAAACGUAUGGCACUGUGAUAGACUGCAUCCAGUUUUCUGAAUAGAGUGUUGGAGGCUAUUUUGUGAAUGACAUCACGGAAGUCGAGGAACGGUAGUAUAGUCAGUUUUACUAGGGUAUGUUUGGCGGCGUGAGUGAAGGAGGCUUUGUUGCAGAAUAGAUUGCCGAUUCUAGAUUUAGUUUUGGAUUGGAGAUGUUUAAUAUGAGUCUAGAAGGAGAGUUUACAGUCUAGCCAGAUACCUAGGUAUUUGUAGUUGUCCACAUAUUCUAAGUCAGAACUGUCCAGAGUAUUGAUGCUAGUCGGGCAGGCGGGUGCGGGCAGCGAAUGGUUGAAAAGCAUGCAUUUAGUUUUACUAGCAUUUAAGAGCAGUUGGAGGCCACGGAAGGAGUGUUGUAUGGCAUUAAAGCUCAUUUAGAGGUUUGUUAACACGGUGUCCAAAGAAGGGCCAGAUGUAUACAGAAUGGUGGUAUCUGCGUAGAGGUGGAUCAGGGAAUCACCCGCAGCAAGAGCUACAUUGUUGAUAUAUGUACAGAGAAAAGAGUCGGCCCAUAGAGACUGCCAGAGGUCCGGACAACAGUGUCACAGGCCGGCUCAUAGCCUGUGGCAAAAAUGAGGGGACACGAACAACAGGUAUAGGCCAAUCAAAAAGGUUCUUUAUUGUAAACCAAAAUUAUUAACUUUAAACAAAGAAAAAGGAAUGAGGUGUGAAAGUAUCAUAAUGUAAGGUGUAUGUAAAGUGCAGGGAUGCAUGAAUCUGUGUGUGUGAAUGACUGAGUGAAAACUAUGCAAAACUACCAAGGAACAAACAAAACAGGAUCAUACCUGGAGGAGCAGAGAGAGAGAGAGAGAGUGAUUAGUGAAGCCGUUUAAAUACCCUGAGCCCAGGUGACCAAUCACUAACGACCCUCCUCUGACUGCAGGAGGAACCGCCCCUGCACUGCAGAGGAGGGGCCGUGACAACAGGCCCUCCGAUUUGACACACUGAACUCUGUCUGAGAAGUAGUUGGUGAACCAGGCGAGGCAGUCAUUUGAGAAACCAAGGCUGUUGAGUCUGCCGAUAAGAAUACGGUGGUUAACAGGGUUGAAAGCCUUGGCCAGGUCGAUGAAGACGGAUGCAAAGUACAAUCUUUUAUCGAUGGCGGUUAAGAUAUUGUUUAGUACCUUGAGCAUGGCUGAGGUGCACCCGUGACCAGCUUGGAAACCGGAUGGCACAGCAGAGAAGAUACGGUUGGAUUCGAAAUGGUCAGUGAUCUGUUUAUUAACUUGGCUUUCAAUGACUUUAGAAAGGCAGGGCAGGAUGGAUAUAUAGUCUAUAACAGUUUGGGUCUAGAGGGUCACCCCCUUUGAAGAGGGGGAUCACCACGGCAGCUUUCCAAUCUUUAGGGAUCUCGGACGAUACGAAAGAGGUUGAACAGACUUGUAAUAGGGGUUGCAACAAUAGUGGCAGAUCAUUUUAGAAAGAGAGGGUCCAGAUAGUCUCGCCCAGCUGAUUUGUAUGGGUCCAGGUUUUGCAGCUCUUUCAGAACACCUGCAAUCUGGAUUUGGGUGAAGGAGAAGCUGGGAGGCUUGGGCAUGGUAGCGGGGGUGCGGAGCUGUUGGCCGGGGUUGGGGUAGCCAGGAGGAAUGCAUGGCCAGCCAUAGCGAAAUGCUUAUUGAAAUUCUCGAUUAUCGUGGAUUUAUUGGUGGUGACCGUGUUACCUAGCCUCAGUGCAGUGGGCAGCUGGGAGGAGGUGCUCUUGUUCUCCAUUGACUUUAAAGUGUCCCAAAACCUUUUGGAUUUAGAGCUACAGGAUGCAAAUUUCUGUUUGAAAAAGCUAGCCUUUGCAUUCCUGCAUAUAUUGGUUCCUGACUUCCCUGAACAGUUGCAUAUCACAGGGACUAUUCGAUGCUAUUGCAGUCCGCCACAGGAUGUUUUUGUUCUGGUCCAAGGGCUUUAUCUGUUCUUAGUUCUACAUUUUUUUGAAAGGGGCAUGCUUAUUAAAGAUGGUGAGGAAAUUACUUUUAAAGAAUGAUCAGGCAUCCUCGACUGACGGGAUGAGGUCAAUAUCCUUCCAGGAUACCCGGGCCAGGUCGAUUAGAAAGGCCUGCUGGCAGAAGUGUUUUAGGGAGCAUUUGACAGCGAUGAGGGGUGGUCGUGAACCCAUAGCGGAUGCAUGCAAUGAGGCAGUGAUCGCUGAGAUCCUGAUUGAAAACAGCAGAUGUGUAUUUGGAGGGCAAGUUAGUCAGGAUAAUAUCUAUGAGGGUGCCCAUGUUUACGGAUUUAGGGUUGUACCUGGUCGGUUCCUUGAUAAUUUGUGUGAGAUUGAGGGCAUCUAGUUUAGAUUGUAAAACUGCCGGGGUGCUAAACAUAUCCCAGUUUAGGUCACCUAACAGAACGAACUCUGAAGAUAGAUGUGGGGCAAUCAAUUCACAUAUGGUGUCCAGGGCAGAGCAGGGAGCUAAGUGGGGUCCAUAACAGGAGAGACAUUUUUGUUUUUUAAUUAGAAGCUCGAACUGUUUGGGCAUGGACCUGGAAAGUAUGAUAGAACUUUGCAAGCUAUCUCUGCAGUAGAUUGCAACUCCUCCCCCUUUGGCAGUUCUAUCUUGAUGGAAAAUGUUGUAGUUGGGGAUGGAAAUCUCACAAUUUUUGGUGUCCUUCCUAAGCCAGGACUCAGACAUGGCAAGGACAUCAGGGUUGGCGGAGUGUGCUAAAGCAGUGAGUAAAACAAACUUAGGGAGGAGGCUUCUGAUGUUAACAUGCAUGAAACCAAGGCUUUUUCAGUUACAGAAGUCAACAAAUGAGAGUGCCUGGGGACAUGCAUGGCCUGGGUUAACCUCCACAUCACCCGAGGAGCAGAGGAGGAGUAGGAUGAGGGUAUGGCUAAAGGCUAUCAAAACUGGUCGUCUAUUGCGUUGGGGACAGAGAAUAAAAGGAGCCGAUUUCUGGGUGUGGUAGAAUAGAUUCAGGGCAUAAUGUACAGACAGGGGUAUGGUGGGGUGUGGGUGCAGUGGGGGUAAACCCAGGCAUUUUGUGAUGAUAAGAGAGGUUGCAUCUCUGGACGUACUAGUUAUGCUGGGUGAGAUCACCGUAUGUGUUCGAGGUGGGACAAAGGAGGUAUCUGAGGCAUGUUGAGUGGGACUAGGGGCUCAGAAGUAAACUAAAACAAUGAUAACUAUCCUAAAGAACAAUAUACAAGGCAUAUUGAGAUUUGAAAGAGACAUAAAGCGAGGCAUAAAACAAUCACAGGUGUUGAUUGGGAGUGCUAGCUAAGACAACAACGGGUAAGACAACAACAGCUAAUCAGCUAAGACAACAACAACAGGUAAAAUGGCGAUGAAUGGGCAGAGAGGAUCAGGUAACUACACACAGGGCCUGAGUUCGAGGCUGGGGCCGACAGAUAAACAAAAAAAUAAACAAAAUGGAGUACCGUGAUUAAGGAACAGUCCAGCUGGCAUCAGUUAUGUAGCCAAGUGAUCAUAGGGUCCAGUGAACAGCAAUAGAUGAAACAGGGAAGCUGCUGGGUAGGCGUUACUACCUAGCAAGCGGGAAACACGGCGUUUAAAGUUAGCAGGCCGGGGCUAGUAGAAGUGCCUGCUCCGACGGCGUACACAUCACGGACAAACUGAAAUGGUCCACCCCACACAGACAGCAUGGUGAAGAAGGCGCAACAGCGCCUUUUCAACCUCGGGAGGCCGAAGUAAUUUGGUUUGUCACGUAAAACACUCACAAACUUUUACAGAUGCCCAAUCGAGAGCAUCCUGUCGGGCUGUAUUACCGCCUGGGACGGAAACUGCUCCACCCACAACCGCAAAGCUCUCCAGAGGGUAGUGCGGUCUGCACAACGCAUCACCAGGGGCAAACAACCUGCCCUCCAGGACACCUACAGCACCCGAUGUCAUAAAGGCCGAAGGCCAUAAAGAUCAUCAAGAACAACAACCUGUUUACCCCGCUAUCAUCCAGAAUGAAUUAUAAGUGAAAUAAUCUGUCUGUUAACAAUGGUUGGAAAAAUGACUUGUGUCAUGCACAAAGUAGAUGUCCUAUCCAACUUGCCAAAACUAUUUUUUGUUAACAAGAAAUUUGUGGAGUCGUUGAAAAUGACUUUUACUUACUCCAACCUAAGUGUAUGUAAACUUCUGUCUUCAACUGUAUAUGUACAUAUUCUUAUUCAUCCCUUUACAUUUGUGUGUUUAAGGUAGUUGUUGUGAAUUUGUUAGAUUACUUGUUAGAUAUUGCUGCACUGUCGGAACUAGAAGCACAAGGUUACAUUAGUUCAACUCAGG